rnacentral:lncRNA from 1 species
UGCCAUAGUUGUUUUAAAGAGUCCAGAUUCAUAAAAUCCCAGAAAUGGGUGUGAAAACACUCUUCUCUUACUAUCUCAAAGCACUACACAUAAAAAUUAAUGAAAGCCAGCUGGAUGAAAGCAGGAAACUACUAAAAUUAAGCGUAAUUAAUAUGGGUUUAUAGCCAAAUCGAUGAUCAAAAUGAAAAGAAAAAAAAGUGGGUGUAGAAAAUAAGCUCACCAGUGAAAGAAUUAAAGAGGAAAUGGGGAACCAAAAAUAGCUUAACCUGAAAUAAGGAAAAAAUGAAAAAAAAAUUAAUGGGGAGUUUAAAUGAGAAGAUGAGAUUAGGGGAGUAGAAAGAAAGAGAGAGAGCAGCAAAAACCUUAAAGAAAAUGGAAGAAUUAAAUAAAAUAGAAGAGAAG